rnacentral:rRNA from 1 species
CAUGCGAGUCAUUGUAGCAAUACAAGGCAGACGGCUCAGUAACGCGUAGUCAAUCUACCCUGUUGACGGGGAUAACCUCGGGAAACUGAGAAUAAUACCCGAUAGAACAUUAUGCCUGGAAUGGUUUAUGUUUCAAAUGAUUUAUCACAAUAGGAUGGGACUGCGGCCUAUCAGUUUGUUGGUGAGGUAAUGGCCCACCAAGACUAUUACAGGUACGGGCUCUGAGAGGAGUGGCCCGGAGAUGGGUACUGAGACACGGACCCAGGCCCUAUGGGGCGCAGCAGGCGAGAAAACUUUGCAAUGUGCGAAAGCACGACAAGGUUAAUCCGAGUGGUUUCUGCUAAAGAAACCUUUUGUCAGUCCUAGAAACACUGAUGAAUAAGGGGUGGGCAAGUUCUGGUGUCAGCCGCCGCGGUAAAACCAGCACCUCAAGUGGUCAGGAUGAUUAUUGGGCCUAAAGCAUCCGUAGCUUGUUUUGUAAGUUUUCGGUUAAAUCCAUACGCUUAACGUAUGGGCUGCCGGGAAUACUGCAUAACUAGGAAGUGGGAGAGGUAGACGGUACUCGGUAGGAAGGGGUAAAAUCCUUUGAUCUAUUGAUGACCACCUGUGGCGAAGGCGGUCUACCAGAACACGUUCGACGGUGAGGGAUGAAAGCUGGGGGAGCAAACCGGAUUAGAUACCCGGGUAGUCCCAGCUGUAAACUAUGCAAACUCAGUGAUGCAUUGGCUUGUGGCCAAUGCAGUGCUGCAGGGAAGCCGUUAAGUUUGCCGCCUGGGAAGUACGUACGCAAGUAUGAAACUUAAAGGAAUUGGCGGGGGAGCACCACAAGGGGUGAAGCCUGCGGUUCAAUUGGAGUCAAC